rnacentral:lncRNA from 1 species
UCAUGGACUCGAGCAAUCGCAGCAACAGUCUGAUACACUUGUUGCAUCGUUGGCCUUUGAUCAGGAAUGAAUUUCAUGCAGUUACUUGCAAGUUCAAGUAGUUGCAUUACCAUAUUAUCAAAUCCUUGGCCUAACAGUAGUUUAUCCACAUCAAGAGGACUGGCAAAAGAGCUGCUCGACAAAUUUAGACUCGAGCAACUCAAUAUGUAAGAUUUCAUCGAGCAAGAUACAUUGUGUGCUAAUGUUACUAUGCACGACAUGGAAAUUUCCACUAUCAUGAAGCCAAGCCAGGGCUUUCGCGACACUAACAACAAUUUUUACCCUUAGAGGGAAGUCCAAGAAUUGUGCCUUGUCGUCAGUUGAAUGCAGCCACUCAUGUAAGUUUCCAUUAGGCAUGUAUUUGUAAACCAGAAGUCGCUCGUCCCUCUCAUAACAAAAUCCGACUAGGGGCACUAAAUUCGGAUGCCUCAAGAUACCUAGAGUUGUGAUCUCCGAAACAAACUCUUCCUCCAAAUCUUCGGAACUUUGGAGCCUCUUUAUGGCAACAGUCCAUCCAUUUGGGACCAGUGCUUUGUACAAUUUCCCCAGCAUUCCGUUCCCGAUUUCAUUGUCUUGGCUGAAAUUCAAAGUCGCUUUUGAUAGUUCCAUAAAACUCAUUCUUGUAACAAUCUUCUCCAGCUUUAAAAUCUGAGGAAAAUAACAUAUCUACCAUUACCACAUUUUAUUUCUCCUCUACAAUAAAAAUUUUUGAUUAAGUAGUUCCCCUUUCGUCGCAAUUUAUCUAACAUAGUUUGACAGGGCACAAAUUUUCAGAAAAAAAAAGUAGUUUUUUAAACUUGUAGUUUAAACGUGCCAUAACACUUGUCUGGCUAUAAAAGCUUGUCACUAAGUGAAAUUGUUUCCAAAUUAGCAUAGUAUAUAAUCAUGCCCUUUAACUUGACUUGGCCUCAUCUGAAAUCUAUGCCCUCCGACUUUAAAUGUGCACAAAUAGAUACUUAAACUUGUAUAUAAUUGAACAGAUAGACAUAAUUACCUUUGGGUCACUGUUUACUUCAUUUCCAUCAAUCACCAUUACCUUUGUUCUCUUGUUGAUCAAGAGAAACAUCUUCUUUACACCAAAAAAAAAAUAUACACCAAGUAAUGUAGAAAGCGACCAACCCGUCACAAAACCACAAGCAAACAGAAUAUGACGGCUUACUACGCGUUCUGUAACACAUAAUUCCAGAGGACUACCACAAAGUCCUGGAUUAUUUGCAUAACUUUCAGCUGGAAAAGCAGCAUUGACAAAAUUUGGCACUGGCCCUGUCAACAUAUUAUCUGCAACAUUAAACAUCCUGAGUCGCUGUAACCAGCAAAUUUCAGGUGGGAUCAGUCCUUCUAGUUUAUUGUUUUCUAAUUUGAGGGAAUUGAGAAAAGAGAAAUUUGAAAUGUCACUUGGGAUAGCGCCUGAGAAUAGGUUGCUCGAGAGAUCAAUGUCUACAGCAAAUGCGAUUAGUUUUGAUAUAUCGGAAGGGAUGGUUCCAUAUAGCUCGUUGUUUGAAAGAUUCAGAGAAGUUAAAGAAGUGCAAUUUUGUAUGCCUCGCGGAAACUCACCUAUUAGUCCCAUGUCUGGAAGACUAAUGGAUACAACUAUGUUCUCAUCGGCAUUCCAGCAUUGUAUUCCUGUAAAUUUGCAUAUAAAACCUUCUGUCUGAUUAUCGAACUUCCAUGUAGAAUUCAAGAUGUUUAAAGGGUCUAUCAACGAAUCUUUAAUCGAUUUCAAGCAAUCGAUAUCACUCUGCACCGCGUUGCAUCUUAGAGAAAAGCUGCAAAAUAGUAGGAAAAAUGGUAGUACUAAGUAAAGAAUGUUGCAGUUACACAUUGUUGAAAUGAAAUUUUUUGUUUAUUUGCUUUGGCAAUUGUGGUGUAAUAUACUAAUUGAUUUUUUGCAAAAAUGGACACCAAUUGACUUGGGUCAAUAAGACGGUAGAAUAAUUCCACCACAUUUUUUUUGAACAUCUUUCACUCCGCAAGUUGGGCCAAGUCAAUAGGAUAUGUUGUACUUGUCUAUAUUAUCUCUUGGGUGCGGUCCUUUUCUGGAUCCAUGACGCCUUAUUCUAAGGGUAGGUCCGUCUCUACUUUUCAAACUUUUCUAUUCAUUUGAAGAUUCAAAGUUAUAAUUAUCGUAUAUUAAUAGAAAAUCGUUGAAGAAAAUUCAUAAACUUCAAAAAAAAAAAAAAAAAUCCUCCCUUGGCUAAUUUUUCCACCCACCCCAUAGAUACUUUAUUCUCAAAAGAAAAUCCCUACUAAGAGAAGACAAUCAUAAGAAUAAGAUUAGCUAUUACUAUAUGAUUAACUUUGUUUAGCAUUUUAAUUCAAGAAAAGAGAAUAAUGAAACAUAUUUAAUAUUUUGUACUCAAUUAAUUAAUCACCUGCAUCUAAGUCAAAGGACAAAGUAUUUUUUGUGAAAAAUAUUCAACUUUUAGUAGUGUACGUUGACUAUUAGUUUCAGUUACCUUUGAAUUUGAAUGAUAAUUAAGAUAUUGUCUCUAGAUCUAAAUAUUAAAUGAUUAAGACACUUUGUUUUUCAUAAUCUAAAUGUAAAUAAUAUAUAAUUCAAAUAAAAAUAAUAUUGGCCGUCACUUUUUUCCAGUCAUCAACAACUAUUUUGAUUAAGUCUCCAAAAGUAUUUACUACUUUUUGUGAAGUCAUCAACAACUAUUUUGACUAGACGAUAUACCAUAAAUUCAAUGUGGUCCAAUUUUGUUAGAAUUAUGCAAAUGAGUUGUACGCCCCGUAGAUCCAUUGGACUUAAGUGAGUAUCUACAAAAUUUCUUAUAUCUAGUGUGUUAUUUCUGUAUUUUUCAUCAAUCAUAAAUAAAGCUAAACUCUGUGUGUAGUAGUAUAUAAAAUGGCAGUUGCCCUGUCCAACAUGUUGUUAGCAACACUAAAUAUGUCGAGUCAAUCUAACAAGUAUAUUUCAGGUGGGAUUGGACCUUCUAGUUUAUUGUUAUUUAAUUUGAGGACAUUAAGAAAAGAUCAAUUUGCAAUGUCAUUUGGGAUCGCGCCUGAGAAUUCAUUUGCUAGAGAUAUCCAAAAAAUUAUAACAAAUCCAAUUAGUUUUGAUAUAGCGGAAGGGAUAGACGUUCCAUAUAGCUCGUUGUUUGGAAGAUCUAGAGAAGUUAAGGAAGAGCAGCCUUGAACGCCUCGUGGAACUCACUAUUAAUCCCAUACCAGGAAAUCUAAGUGUAGUUUUGGAACAUUGGAAAGUCUUUCCAUAUUUCUUAAACUUCGUGUUCAGUCAAAUUACAUCACAUAAAUUGGGACAGAUGGGAGUACUAAGUAAAGAAAGUUGAAGCUGCACAUUGUAAAAGUGAAAGUUUUUUGUUCUUUAUGUUCUUAUGCAAAUUGUUUCCUAGAAAUUUAAGAAGAUUACAACAAAAAUGAAUUUCUUCACCAAGCAAGUGUCGUUGGUAUUAUUCAAACAAGACGUGUAGUUGUAUAUUCGUCUGUAGAUUAAAUUCGAUAUGUCUAUCUGAAAGGUGAAAAGUAUCUGACAAGAGCUCGCCUUGCUUCAUUUUCCCCUUCUUUAGCAAUGAUAUUUUUGUUAUCGCAAGUCAAGAUUCACAUAAAAGGAUGGGACAUAAAACGAAGCAUUUGUGAUAAUGAUGAUGACAAAUGCUUNNNNNNNNNNNNNNNNNNNNNNNNNNNNNNNNNNNNNNNNNNNNNNNNNNNNNNNNNNNNNNNNNNNNNNNNNNNNNNNNNNNNNNNNNNNNNNNNNNNNNNNNNNNNUGGUUUGAGCCAAAGCUACACGUCCCUUUGGUGGCUCCGCCCCUGCUUCUAGUCCACGUGCAAUUGUAUUUCAGAGUCCUCUGUUUGGUCAUGGACUCGAGCAAUCGCAGCAACAGUCUGAUACACUUGUUGCAUCGUUGGCCUUUGAUCCGGAAUAAAUUUCAUGCAAUCACUUGCAAGUUCAAGUAGUUGCAUUACCAUAUUAUCAAAUCCUUGGCCUAACAGUAGUUUAUCCACAUCAAGAGGACUGGCAAAAGAGCUGCUCGACAAAUUUAGACUCGAGCAACUCAAUAUGUAAGAUUUUUUCCUCGUUAAAAGCUCGAGAAGCACAACCCCAAAUCGAUAAACAUCUUUUUUAUAUGUUGUAAAGUCUAAACACUCGACUAUUGGAAAUAGACUCAAGUUUGAAUCUAUGUCAUUUGUUUUUGCAAGUGUUGCCUCCCAAAAAUUGGAUAACUUAGGAUCAAAAUUUUCAUUGAGCAAGAUACAUUGUGUGCUUAUGUUACUAUGCACAACAUGGAAAUUUCCACCAUCAUGAAGCCAAGUCAGGGCUUUUGCGACACCUAAAACAAUUUUAACCCUUAGAUUAAAGUCCAAGAGUCUUGCCUUGUCGUCGGUUGAAUGCAACCACUCAUGUAAGUUUCCAUUAGGCAUGUAUUUGUAAACCAGAAUUCGCUCGUCCCUCUCAGAACAAAAGCCGAUUAAAGGCACCAAAUUCGGAUGCCUCAGACUACCUAGAGUUGUGAUCUCGGAAACAAACUCUUCCUCCAAAUCCUCUGAUACAUGGAACCUCUUUAUGGCAACUGUCCAUCCAUUUGGGACCAGUGCUUUGUACACUUUCCCUAGCAUUCCGUUCCCGAUUUCAUUGUCUUGGCUGAAAUUCAAAGUCACUUUUGAUAGUUCCAGAAAACUCAUUCUUGUAACAAUCUUCUCCAUCUUUAAAAUCUGAGGAAGAGAACAUAGCUACCAUAUUUAGCAAUAGUUUGAUUAAGUAGUACCCCUUUCGUCUCAAUAUAUCUGACAUAGUUUGAUUGGACAAAAAUUUUAAGACAAAAGAAGAAUUUUUUUUAAACUUGUAGUCUUAAACAUCCCAUAACACUUGUAUGCCUAUAAAAACUUGUGACUAAGAGUAAAAUGAUAACUUUAAGGAGGCGUUUGGCCAUAGAUUCUAAAUAUUUUUCAAAGCGUAAUGUUUACCUUUGGAUCGUUGUUUACUUCUUCUCGUUGAGGCGAUUCAUUUCCAUCAAUCACCAUUACCUUUGUUCUCUUGUUGAUGAAUAGAAGCAUCUUCUUUACACCAGGUAAACCUAAGAAAAAAAGAUAUAUACCAAGUACAGUAAAAAGUGACCAACCAGUCACAAAACCACAAGCAAACUGUACACGACGGUUCAAUACAGUACUUAACAGAAUAUGAUGGAACCCGAUGCGUUUUGUAACACAUGCUUUCAGAGGACUACCACAAAGUCCUGCAUUAUUUGCAUAACUUUCAGGUGGAAAAGUGGCAUUGAUAAACCUUCGCACUGGCCCUGUCAACAUGUUGUUGGCAACAUUAAAGUUCUUGAGUCGAUUUAACGAGCCAAUUUCAGCUGGGAUCGGACCGUCUAGUUUAUUGCUGUCUAAUCUGACGGAAUUAAGAAAAGAGCAAUUUGCAAUGUUACUUGGGAUCGCGCCUGACAAUAGGUUGCUUGAGAGAUCAACCAUUAUAAUAAAUUCAAUUAAUUUUGAUAUAUCCGAAGGGAUGGUUCCAUAUAUCUCGUUGCUUGAAAGAUCUAGAGAAGUUAUAGAAGUGCAAUUUUUUAUGCCUCGCGGAAACUCACCUUUUAGUCUCAUGUCUGAAAGACUAAUGGAUAAAACUCUGCUCUCAUCAUCAUGCCAGCAUUGUAUUCCUGCAAAUCUGCAUAUGAAACCUUCUGUCUGUUUAUCGAACUUCCACGUAGUAUUCAAGAAAUUAAAAGGGUCUUCCAACGAAUCUUUUAUCGACAUCAAACAAUCUAGAGAAAAGCUGGAAAGUAGUAGGAAAAAUGGUAGUACUAAGUAAAGAAUAAUGUUGCAGUUGCACAUUAUGGAAAUGGAUUUUUUUUGUUUUAGAGUAUCCAUUGACUUGAUUAGAAGGAACAUGAAAUUUAUUGAGUUAUUUGUGGUGUAAUAUAGUACUAAUUAUUUUUUGCAAAAAUGGACACCAGUUGACUUGGGUCAAUUCCAUAUAAGGUAGAUUAAUUCCAACACAUUUUUCUCAAUAUCUUUGACUCCACAACUUGGGCUAAGUCGGUAGGAUAUGUUGUCUAGGUAUCGUCCUUUUCUAAAUCCAUGAAAAAACUGAGAUUAGAACAAGGCAAAAUUUAAGUGUCUAAAUGAGAUCUCCGAUCAAGAUUUUGUUGAGGUUUAUUUUCCCUGAUUUCUUACCAUAAAUAGGUUUUUCUUUAGGAAAAAGUUUUAAUAUUUUGAGUAGUCUUUUUCAUGUAGGAAAGGUUUUCGGAUUCUAUAAAUAUAGUCUUGUUCCUUCUAACUUAAUCAGCAUACACAAUGUAGUCCUAGGGUUUUGAGAGUUUCGGUUAUGGGGGAGAAUUUGUGAACCUCCUUGUAUUGCGAGUGAAUUGGUUGAGGUUAUUUCUCUCUAUAUUUUGUACUCUCAUAUUUGUAGUGGAUUGCUCAUUUGCUUUGUGGAUAUAGGUCAACUGAUCAAAUCACGUUAAAUUUUUGUGUCUUUUGGUAUAUUUCUUGUUUGUCUUCUUACUCAUGGUCUUUCAAGGUUUCUUUGCUAGCUUCCGCAUUACACCUAAUUAUUUUCGAUCCUAACAGUUUUAAGUGUUUGACCUUUUCUUUUUUGGUUUCUCGUCCGGUGGUCGUAGCCCACAUUAAAGCUCUGACUAUAUUCGGAUUACGCACUACAGGAUCCAUUUGAAGAUGGCGAGACCUUUGAUUAAAGAUGAAGCACUCAGACCACCAGUGCACCACAACUCAAGUUAAUAGUCGUGUUUGACCUUUAAUCAUUUAACAACUAUUAUUAUUAUGUGUCUCACAUGCAUCAACAAUUUUUUUGGGUCCAUCCUCACAUUGACGGCGGCUCACAAUUUUCCAUUUACAUACAUUCUCACUUGCACAUUGUUUUUCAUUGACACGGAAAUACAUCAACACAUUGGGAUUUGUCAUUUGUGAGGAUACUAUUGGUCUGUGGCAAUAAAAAUAUCUGAAAUCUUUUCUUCUUUUGUGCGGAUUUAGGAGAACUCAAGUGUCCUUGACAAUAUCAUAUCAUACUAUAUUAUUAUAAGAUAUAUGAUAAAUACUACUUAUAUAUCCUAUCAUAUCAUAUUUUCAUAUAUAUAUAUAUAUAUAUAUAUAUAUAUAGAUAUUUUAAUUACAUAAUGGUAGAAUUUGAGUGCUUAAGCCCUUUAAUAAUUAAAUUAUUAUUUUCUUAUAAAUGAGUAUAUUGAUAUUGUUUUUAAUCAUAAUCAUAAUUCUCAUAACGGAAAAAUUUGAAAAGUUAUGAUAGAUAAAAUAAUGUAUAUAUCAUCAUCAUAUCAUAUCAUCAUUAUCAAUCAUAUCAUUCAUAUAUUUUAUUAUUAUUAUUUUAUUUUAUUUUAUAUUACUAAAAGUGGAAAACUCCAAAGUGCAAAGUUGGAUUAUCAUUCUACCCCUACAUUCAAUCAUAUUAUUAUAAAAUAUUUAAUUAAUUAAAUAUUAAGUAGCUAAUCAUAUUAUAUUAUACUAAAAAUGAGAAGCUAUUAAAUUAAUAUAAUUCAUUCUUUUAAAAAACAAUGCAUUAAGAAUAUGAAGGUUUACUUUGUAUGGUUCAAUAAUAUGGGCUUGAUUCAAAUGCAGGUGUAAUGUAAUUUUUCAACAUCAAUGCAUUGAUUUCCUUAAUUAAUUUGAAAAAAUGAAUAAGUAAUUUGAAAAGUUACCUGUCAUGUAUAAUUAUAGAUCAGAUUCAUAUGUAGCAGUAUAAAAUGUAUUUGAACAGUCAUUAUAUUAUAUUACACUAAAUACUAAAAGUGGAAAAAUAACUUAUUCAAUAAUCACAAUAAAUAAAUAUUUAAAGAAAUGUGAGAAGCCACUCUUGUAAAUCCAAGAAUCACUAAAUUAUAAUAUGUGUUUAAAGGAUAAUUAUAUAGUAGUAUUUAUUAGGAGUGUUCUUUACAUUUGUUACGUUGAAUUUCUUUUGGAACUCUAAACAUCAACAAAUUAAUUAUAAGCAGUUUCAAUUACAUGUAUCUAGUUACAAUUUAUCUUCUAUUGGAGACACCAAUAGUCUUGGUUGCUAAUUGAUGAUGUGGAGGAAUUAAUAUCUUCUCACAAGAUAAAUGUACAAAAAUAUACUUUGAUAGUUGUGAAUAUUAUUCAUUAUAAAUUAAAGAAUUUGAUGAAGUGGCUAAUAGGUUGAGUAUAGUCAUCGACGUUCUCCUCUCACACGAACGACACAGGUAAAUCAUAUUUUUGAUGUUCUUGAGCUUCUCUUUUAAUCAACUAUUUCUAUUUCUUCCACAUACUUAAAAGUAUUGUCCCGAUUAAAAAUUUGCAUACUUUAUGUCAUUAUAUUUCUCUUUGUAGAUGGACUAUAAAUCUAUCACCAGUCUGUGCAAUUCUUUUACAGAAUCUUAUCGAAAAUUGAUAUGAGAUGAAGUUGAAAGGAUCAUUCUUGACCCAUCUGUUUUAUCGGGAGAGUCAGGUAAGGCUAAAAGGGUUCUUUCAAACCCUCUUUAACUGAAAAUUACAAUAUUUAUACAUAUGGUUUAAAUAGUUUUUUAUGUAUAUAUAGUAGAGGUUGAACCUUCGUGUGUUUAGUUCUUCAUAUUUUAAAUCCCUUUUAGUGAAAACUUAAGUCUGGCACUAUUUUAUUUAAUAUGUUUUUCUCACUGUUGUUUCUAUUAUUAAUGUCUUAAAAUCAUAUUUUAUGUGGUCACUUUUGUACUAAAUGACUCAUGGUUCAUGUUGACUAUUUGUUGCAAUUUAGUGAUUUUUUACAUAUAGAUUUAUGCUCAAUAUUGGAAGUGUCGGAAACUAUAAUUUUGAAUCAAUCCUAACUUGGAUACACGUGCAACACACGUAUCCAGAAACCAGUUAUACUAUAAGUGGGAAGAAUUUUAGGCAAAAGUUAGAUUACUAUUUUACCCCUACACUAAAUCAUAAUCUAAUUAAUUAGUAAUAUUAGUAAACUUGGGUCGUUCCCCGAACCCUACGCGAAAACUGUUACCUGAAGAAACAAGUCUUCCACACCAUCUUCUAUUAGAGAGCUUUGCUAUUAGUUUCGAUUAUGCCCGAAUCUGAAUGUGCAUCUCAAUGAUUAAUUUAUUGUGAUUAGAUUUGAAUAUUAAAUGAUUAACAUUGUUUGUCUUUUAAUAUCUAAAUGUGCAUGAUUUAUUUAUUUAUUAACAUAAUAAAUAGGGAAAAGGGUCAAAACAAGUUCCAAGCUGAUAAAUUAUUUAUACAUAUGAAAUGGUUCUUCAUCACAAAUACAUUGGUUUGAGCCAAAGCUACACGUCCCUUUGGUGGCUCCGCCCCUGCUUGUAGUCCAAGUGCAAUUGUAUUUCAGAACCCCCUGUUUGGUCAUGGACUCGAGCAAUCGCAGCAACAGUCUGAUACACUUGUUGCAUCGUUGGCCUUUGAUCCGGAAUAAAUUUCAUGCAAUCACUUGCAAGUUCAAGUAGUUGCAUUACCAUAUUAUCAAAUCCUUGCCCUAACAGUACUUUAUCAACAUCAAGAGGACUGGCAAAAGAGCUGCUCGACAAAUUUAGACUCGAGCAGCUCAAUAUGUAAGAUUCUUUCCUCGUUAAAAGCUCGAGAAGCACAACCCCAAAUCGAUAAACAUCUUUUUUAUAUGUUGUAAAGUCUAAACACUCGACUAUUGGAAAUAGACUCAAGUUUGAAUCUAUG